GGCCGGGGUGCAGCACCUGGCCGGGGGCAACCAGGGCCCCCUCGGGGCGGACAGCGCUGGGCUCGCUCACCCCGCAGCCGCAGGGGAAAUCGCGUUACUUCAGGGGGCCUCGAGCGGGGGACUCGUUAGAGGGUCGGAGCCGGGCGGAGAGGGGCCCUCCCGGUCCCCACGAGCCCGGUCCGCUCCAGGCCCGGGAGGCUCCGCUGACGCUAGGGGGCGCCUGCCCGUGUCAAGAAGAACAGGCGUCGGCACGUGCAGGAUCAGGCUGGACACUUGGCCUUGCCUGGCUUCAGCCAGAGCCUGAGUGUGAAGUGUUGCCGGGCAGCAGAGAGCUACUCACAGGGCACUUGGAGCGGGAGAGGGCCCACAACGGAAAGCAAAGUAAUAGUUCUUGGAGGUUUUAGUCUGAAAACCGACUGCUAACAUGGGCUGCUUCUUACCAAGAAGCCUGCUACCUACCUCUCCGUAGCUGUUGCCCUUUGAGCGGGGGAUGCACAUGUCCACACUGUAGGCAUGUGCCUGUUUCGGGCAGUAGUGAGAGAACCUUUUUCCAAAGCAGUACCUGUCAAAGCCAGAGGGGCACCGCCUGCCACUGCGGGCGGUCUAAGAGGGUGGAACCUUCCCCCCUUUCACUUCCUUCCUACCGCCUAGACUUUACUAGAGAGGGGAAGGAAGGUGGCUUGUGGAAUGGACAUGUGCAGCACAUUUCAAACAACAACACUUUUGGAAAGGACUCUGAGUACUAAUGGAAUUAGAGGAAAGGCAUACAGCCGUGAGUUCAUCGGUGAUAGCUGAAAAGCAUCUGUCAAAGACCCAGGUCUGGAAUUCUCUCAGCAGCAGAACAGGAGGCAUUUGUUGCAAACAGGUCCAUGCGAGAAGUUUCCCCAGAGCUGGAAGAUGAGCCUAGCCACAUCUGGACCUAGUGACCAUUCAUGGUGAGGGGACAAAGACCUGCUCAGCUGAUCUACUGAUGUGUUCUGCUCUCCUGGGAGGUUUUUAGAAUUGAUCUGACUUGACUGAGUAAUAGACACAGUUCAUUGAGAGUGGACUGAAUGAUACCCACACUGAAUAGCACUUGAGAGUUCAACCAGUCUGUCACCAACCAAUCGUCCAGGUGGGGAGUGCACGGAUUCCCAAUCCUCUCAGAUAUACAACUACCUUACCUUGCACAUUGUGAAAACUCAAGGGGCUGCUGCUGACAGACCAAAUUAAAGUAGUGUAAAUUGGUAAUGUGUUUCGUUUGCUAGGAACAUGAUGAACUUCCAGUGGUCUAGACAGAUCACUAUAUGGAAGUAAGCGUCUUUUAAGUCAAGGGCAGCAUACCAGUGGCCCUGUUCAGGGAAGGAAUGAUGGUAGCUAGGGUAACCAUGGGGAUCUUCAUUUUCUUCAGGUACUUGCUUAACUCCCUUAGAUCUAAAAUACCCCCUUUUGUUUUGGGAAUUAAGGAAAUAGCAGGAAUAAAAACUGUUCCCCCUGAGGAGUAGAGGAACUUCCUCUACUGCACCCACUGGAAGGAGAGAUUAAACCUGUUGUAAAACGGUCUCCUGAGAGUGGUUCUUGAAGAGGGAUGGAGAAGGGGGAGGAUAGAAACAAAUUGAAGUCAAUAUCCCACAUCCACCAUACUUAGGACCCACCAAACUUAUGUGACAUGAGUCUAAGCACAGAGGAAGUUGUAAAGACAAUAGGCAAAGGUAAGGGUAGGAACAGAUUCAUCUGUAAGUAUUGACAUGCUGCCUUUGACAAGCCUGUCAAAAAUGCAUGUUUAGACUGGGCCAUUGGUUGAGAGGAAUCUGCUGUCGCAGAUGAGAGAGGCGGUGGUCAAUUUCUAUAAUUCCUGUCCCUUUUUUUUUGGCAGGUCUUGGGGCUGAGGUAUAAAGCUCUGAUAUCUGUGAGCCUUCUGGGGCCAGAAUUGCUUCCUCUUCAUUGCCAGUGUAUAAAUUCCAAGGGACUUCAGUAUUGCCCUGGAAUCUUGUAAGCUAUGCCGCCUAUUGUCCAUCGUUUCUGAAAAGAGGGAUGGACCCUCAAAUGGCAAAUCCUAGAUGGUCUGCUGUGCUUCAGGAGGGAGACCAGACGAUUGCAGCCAUGAACUUCUCCUCAUAGAAAUAGCAGAUGUCAUGGAACAAGCUACUGAGUCUGCUGCAUCCUAACUGUUGUGAAUAGCUGUCCUUGCACCCCCGCUUACCCUCCUCUACCAUGAGUGAGAACCUGCCUGGAAUCCUCUGGUAGCCUGUCUUUAAACUUCAGGAUGUUUUCUCAUAGGGUAAAAUCAUAGCAAUUUAGGAGGGCUAGCUGGUUAACAAUUCUUGGCUGCAGACCUUCUGUUGAAUAAGUUUAUGACCAAACAGG